CUGGCGGCGUGCCUAAUACAUGCAAGUCGAACGGUCUUUCUAUGGAAGCUUGCUUCCACUGAGAAGAUAGUGGCGAACGGGUGAGUAACACGUGGGUAACCUGCCCAUAAGAGGGGGAUAACAUCCGGAAACGGGUGCUAAUACCGCAUAGUUUUUCUUGAUCGCAUGAUUGAGAAAGGAAAGACGGCCUUUGUGCUGUCGCUUAUGGAUGGACCCGCGGCGUAUUAGUUAGUUGGUGAGGUAACGGCUCACCAAGACGAUGAUACGUAGCCGACCUGAGAGGGUGAUCGGCCACAUUGGGACUGAGACACGGCCCAAACUCCUACGGGAGGCAGCAGUAGGGAAUCUUCCGCAAUGGACGAAAGUCUGACGGAGCAACGCCGCGUGAGUGAAGAAAAGGUUUUCGGAUCGUAAAACUCUGUUGUCAGAGAAGAACAAGUUGGAGAGUAACUGCUCCAGCCUUGACGGUAUCUGACCAGAAAGCCACGGCUAACUACGUGCCAGCAGCCGC
rnacentral:rRNA from 1 species